UAGGGAAUCUUCCGCAAUGGACGAAAGUCUGACGGAGCAACGCCGCGUGAGUGAAGAAGGAUUUCGGUUCGUAAAACUCUGUUGUUAGGGAAGAAAAAAUGUAUAGUAACUAUAUACAAAAGAGACGGUACCUAACCAGAAAGCCACGGCUAACUACGUGCCAGCAGCCGCGGUAAUACGUAGGUGGCAAGCGUUGUCCGGAAUUAUUGGGCGUAAAGCGCGCGCAGGUGGUUUAGAAAGUCUGAUGUGAAAGCCCACGGCUCAACCGUGGAGAGUCAUUGGAAACUAAUAAACUUGAGUGCAGGAGAGAAAAGUGGAAUUCCUAGUGUGGCGGUGAAAUGCGUAGAGAUUAGGAGGAACACCGGUGGCGAAAGCGGCUUUUUGGCCUGCAACUGACACUGAGGCGCGAAAGCGUGGGGAGCAAACAGG
rnacentral:rRNA from 1 species